rnacentral:rRNA from 1 species
CAGUAGCCGCGGGAAUACGUAGGGUGCAAGCGUUAAUCGGAAUUACUGGGCGUAAAGCGUGCGCAGGCGGUUCGCUAAGACAGAUGUGAAAUCCCCGGGCUUAACCUGGGAACUGCAUUUGUGACUGGCGGGCUAGAGUAUGGCAGAGGGGGGUAGAAUUCCACGUGUAGCAGUGAAAUGCGUAGAGAUGUGGAGGAAUACCGAUGGCGAAGGCAGCCCCCUGGGCCAAUACUGACGCUCAUGCACGAAAGCGUGGGGAGCAUACAGGAUUAGAUACCCGCGUAGUCCCUGUCUCUUAUAC